CUGGUGGCGGGUAUAAAAAAUGUAAGUCGAGAGGUCGAUUCGGUGGGAGCGGUGGAGGGGUUAGUAAUGAGUGGGAAUAUGCCCGGUGCUAAGGAAUAGGCUUUGGAAGUGAAGAGUAGUACCUUAUACGCCCUUCGGGGGAAAGAUUUAUCGGUAUCGGAUUAGCCCGCGUAAGAUUAGAUAGUUGGUGGGGUAAUGGCCUACCAAGUCUACGAUCUUUAGCUGGUUUUAGAGGAUGAUCAGCAACACUGGGACUGAGACACGGCCCAGACUCCUACGGGAGGCAGCAGUGGGGAAUCUUAGACAAUGGGCGCAAGCCUGAUCUAGCCAUGCCGCGUGAGUGAAGAAGGCCUUAGGGUCGUAAAACUCUUUCGCCAGAGAUGAUAAUGACAGUAUCUGGUAAAGAAACCCCGGCUAACUCCGUGCCAGCAGCCGCGGUAAUACGGAGGGGGUUAGCGUUGUUCGGAAUUACUGGGCGUAAAGCGCACGUAGGCGGACUGGAAAGUUGGGGGUGAAAUCCCGGGGCUCAACCUCGGAACUGCCUCCAAAACUAUCAGUCUAGAGUUCGAGAGAGGUGAGUGGAAUUCCAAGUGUAGAGGUGAAAUUCGUAGAUAUUUGGAGGAACACCAGUGGCGAAGGCGGCUCACUGGCUCGAUACUGACGCUGAGGUGCGAAAGUGUGGGGAGCAAACAGGAUUAGAUACCCUGGUAGUCCACACCGUAAACGAUGAAUGCCAGUCGUCGGCAAGUAUACUUGUCGGUGACACACCUAACGGAUUAAGCAUUCCGCCUGGGGAGUACGGUCGCAAGAU
rnacentral:rRNA from 1 species